rnacentral:lncRNA from 1 species
UUCUUCUCCGUUUCUCCCCCUCCCUUUUCCUCUCUUUGCCGACUCCUCCACUGGCGAGACUGCGACAGAGGACGGGAGGAGAAGCCCUCCUUCACCAGCGAAUCAGGGGAGGAGCCAAGGAGUCCCUUGCACGGGAGGAGAAGCCCUCCUCCACCGGCGAAUCAGGGGAGGAGCCGACGAGUCCCUCGCACGGGAGGGUCAGGCCACGGCCGACGGCGCCCGCGGCGGUGCCUGCGAUCGACACCCGUGCCAGCGGUGCUCGUAGCCGAAACCGGCGGCCGCCUCACGCGACGAGUUGAGACCAUUCUUCUCCUUUUUUUUUCUUUCUUUCCUUCUUCUCUUCUUUUCUUUCUUUCCUUCAUUCUUCUCUCCGAC